rnacentral:rRNA from 1 species
UACGUAGGGUGCGAGCGUUGUCCGGAAUUAUUGGGCGUAAAGGGCUCGUAGGCGGUUUGUCGCGUCGGGAGUGAAAUCCACUGGCUUAACUGGUGGCUUGCUUUCGAUACGGGCAGACUGGAGGUAUGCAGGGGAGAACGGAAUUCCUGGUGUAGCGGUGAAAUGCGCAGAUAUCAGGAGGAACACCGGUGGCGAAGGCGGUUCUCCGGGCAUGUCCCGACGCUGAGGAGCGAAAGUGUGGGGAGCGAACAGG